rnacentral:rRNA from 1 species
GCCCAAGAGAUCGGGAUAACACCUGGAAACAGAUGCUAAUACCGGAUAACAACAGAUGAUGCCUAUCAACUGUUUAAAAGAUGGUUCUGCUAUCACUCUUGGAUGGACCUGCGGUGCAUUAGCUAGUUGGUAGGGUAACGGCCUACCAAGCGAUGAUGCAUAGCCGAGUUGAGAGACUGAUCGGCCACAUUGGGACUGAGACACGGCCCAAACUCCUACGGGAGGCAGCAGCU